rnacentral:SRP_RNA from 1 species
GCUGGGUUUGGUGGCACACACCGGUAGUCUCAGCACUUGGGAGGCUGAGGCAAGAAGAUGGCUUGAGCCUAGGAGUUCUGGGCUAUAGCACACUAUGUCAAUCAGGUGUCUGCACUGAGUUCAUCAUCAAUAUGGUGACCUCCCAGGACUGGGAGACCACCAGGUUGCCUAAGGAAGGAUGAACUUGCCCAAGCAGGGAAUAGAGCAGGUCAAAACUCUCAUCUUAGUGGGAUUACUUCUGUGAGCAGUCCCUGCACUCCAGCCAGCACAACACAGCAAGACCCUGUCUCU